AGAGUGAGAAGAAAGGUUCUCACGGGUGCCUCCACAUAUCGCUUGAGGCCCUACUCAGUGUUGCCUGCUGGGGCCAGUUCCCUUCAGACGGAAGCCUUUCUCACAGCGCCAGACGCUGGCCGGACCGUGAGCUAGACGACGCCUGUCGUCAGCUCCCCCAGCCUUCCCGACCCUGCCUUCUUCCUCCCUCCCUGCCCUUUCUUUCCCUCCCUGUGUGGAGGGGGGGGGGUCCUCACAGUCUUCUAGGAAUCUGCUUAGGCAGCCACACACAGUCGAUCAGGGCUCCCUGAAUUGAAUUGAUCUUAAAAGGUAUUCACAUUAAGCCAUAAAUGACUAAUCUGGGGGGGCGCCUGGGAGCAUGUGCAUUUAUGAGGCCUCAAAGCCUUAAGCAGAAAGGGCUUCAGCCAGCUCAGGAGAAAAGCGCUUGCUUAGUGGGCUGGAGUGUUCCUGGCACUUCUGAAUUCCAUAUUCUGGACAGUUGCCUACUCUACCUGCACUUAAAGCUGGCCCUGGUUCCAAACAUCCAGUCCUACAUGCUUCCCCUCCUGGCUCUAUAUUGUGCUGCGCGAUAAGGCGGCGGGUGCGGGGUGGGGGGCUGACAGCUGCUAAUCUGAGACCUUCUGGCUGGAAAGCCUGUUAAGACUGCGGACACAACCACAGUGAAGCAUUUGAGACACAAGUGAUGAAAACCAAAGACCCUGUGAAACUGAUGAGCAUCUGUACCAGAAGGCAGAAUCAUAGAAAAGCUCUAAUGUGACUCAGCAUGGCAUUUGAGUUAAUAUCCAGAAAUAAAGCAGAAUGAGUGUGUGUGUGUGUGUGUGCGUGCACGCACGGGCACGCAUGCAUGCAUGUGACAGAGACAGACUGAUGAAUGGCAAAGCCGGAAGCAAUCUUAAUCCCAAAAGUCAACUUCACAGGUAGACCUGACAGUCACCUACUGAGGAAAUGCUCAGCUUCUAUGGUGUCACCCAGGACAUAAAAGAGAUGCCACUCAGCCUGUAUGCUCUGAAGCGUCAGAAUAUUUGGAAAUGGGAACCUCCAGGACCGUUUCAGAGAUGCUUCAUAUGUCCAUUUCUGACUGGUUUGCAGCACUUCUUACCAUAGCAUAUCUGGAAAGAGGCUACUGUUACUGGCAAGGAAUCCAGCCUUCCCAAUCUGUGCUGGGGACACGGGACUUCAGGGUCAUGGCAGAAGACAAAGGAGAGGACAUCCGUGUAAGACCGCUCCUUCCAUCAUAGGUGUCUUAGGUGUUCUUUGGCUUGGAGGAAGCCGGCAGCCAUGCUGUAAACUGCUCUCAGGGAGAAGCCCACGCACCAAAGAACUGAAGUCUCCAGCCGAUGAGAAGACUCUGCCAACAACCAGAUGAGUUGUCUAUCCACUUUGAGCCUCAAGAUGACUGCACCCCCUCUACCCUCUUCUUGUAGUCUGUGAAGGAUCCCCGGACUCUGAGGCAUCCAGCUGAGAUGCUCUGGAUUCCAACCCAAGGAAACUGUAAGAUAACAAACAUUUGCUGUUUUUAAGAAGCAAAAUUUUAGAGUAACUUGUUAGGCAGCACUAUUAAAAAUGCAGAGUUCUGCUUCACAGAUCACCCUUCAGCAAUGUUUCUCUUCUGUGACCUUGAGCAAACCACUGCUAUUCUCUGGGUCUAUGAGAUGGGGUUAGAGUCCAGUGCCCCAAGUCCCUCAUCCAGGAGGUAGUGGUCAAUGAUGUUUACGAGGUCUAUCUGUUCUACUGUUCAGCUUAGGAAGAAGCCCCGGUUAAACCUGCACAUCUUUGUAUAUUAAGAUCCACAUCUUUAUAUUUGCCUCACAUUUUUCACUCCUAUCAUCUGAAGUCUGUUUCUAAUUUCUGACAGAAUUGCAGUGACCUAUUGUAUGCUGCACUCUGCAUGACAUGCCAAUUUCAUUUUGGAGUCACGGCUAUUGUCUUUUCCCGUUAAUCUCUCUUGUUUUGCAAAAUUCCAAUAGAAAGUGUGAACAUAGAGAGUUGCCCUUGUGCCUGAUCUUGGCGCUGUGUGGCCCCCAAACGGGUGGAUGAUAGACAGACAGACAGCCUGUCUGCCACCCGAGGCAUCUUUUCUUGCUUAAAAAUUUGCUUUCCAGAUUGCAGACUCCCUUCCAGCUCGAGCGAAGACUGGAACGUAUUAAAUAAAAGCAGGCCUCAAAUUGGA